UGGCGACCGGCGCACGGGUGAGUAACGCGUAUGCAACUUACCUAUCAGAGGGGGAUAGCCCGGCGAAAGUCGGAUUAAUACCCCAUGAAACAGGGGUCCCGCAUGGGAAUAUUUGUUAAAGAUUCAUCGCUGAUAGAUAGGCAUGCGUUCCAUUAGGCAGUUGGCGGGGUAACGGCCCACCAAACCGACGAUGGAUAGGGGUUCUGAGAGGAAGGUCCCCCACAUUGGUACUGAGACACGGCCAA
rnacentral:rRNA from 1 species